CAAUAGCGUAUAUUUAAGUUGUUGCAGUUAAAAGCUCGUAGUUGGAUUUCGGGUUGGCUUCAGCGGUCUCGCUUUGCGUUUGCACUGCUGCAGCCUACCUUCUUGUCGGGGACGGGCCUACGGGCUUCAUUGCUCGGGGCCCGGAGUCGACGAUGUUACUUUGAGUAAAUUAGAGUGUUCAAAGCAAGCCUACGCUCUGAAUAUAAUAGCAUGGGAUAACACGACAGGACUCUGGCCUAUCGUGUUGGUCUGUAGGACCAGAGUAAUGAUUAAGAGGGACAGUCGGGGGCAUUCGUAUUCCGUUGUCAGAGGUGAAAUUCUUGGAUUUACGGAAGACGAACAUCUGCGAAAGCAUUUGCCAAGGAUGUUUUCAUUGAUCAAGAACGAAAGUUGGGGGCUCGAAGACGAUCAGAUACCA
rnacentral:rRNA from 1 species